rnacentral:rRNA from 1 species
UACGUAGGGUGCAAGCGUUGUCCGGAAUUAUUGGGCGUAAAGAGCUCGUAGGCGGUCUGUCGCGUCGGCUGUGAAAACCCGGAGCUCAACUCCGGGCCUGCAGUCGAUACGGGCAGACUGGAGUUCGGCAGGGGAGACUUGGAAUUCCUGGUGUAGCGGUGAAAAUGCGCAGAUAGUCAGGAGGAACACCGGUGGCGAAGGCGGGUCUCUGGGCCGAUACUGACGCUGAGGAGCGAAAGCGUGGGGAGCGAACAGG